GAUGAACGCUAGCGGCAGGCUUAAUACAUGCAAGUCGAGGGACAGCACAGGUAGCAAUACUGGGUGGUAACCGGCAAACGGGUGCGGAACACGUACACAACCUUCCUUUAAGUGGGGGAUAGCCCAGAGAAAUUUGGAUUAAUACCCCGUAAUAAAGUUGAAUGGCAUCAUUUGAUUAUUAUAGCUACGGCGCUUAAUGAUGGGUGUGCGGCUGAUUAGAUAGUUGGCGGGAUAACGGCCCACCAAGUCUACGAUCAGUAGCUGAUGUGAGAGCAUGAUCAGCCACACGGGCACUGAGACACGGGCCCGACUCCUACGGGAGGCAGCAGUAAGGAAUAUUGGUCAAUGGACGCAAGUCUGAACCAGCCAUGCCGCGUGAAGGAUUAAGGUCCUCUGGAUUGUAAACUUCUUUUAUUUGGGACGAAAAAGGGCCUUUCUAGGUCAACUGACGGUACCAGAUGAAUAAGCACCGGCUAACUCCGUGCCAGCAGCCGCCGUAACAC
rnacentral:rRNA from 1 species